GAUGAACGCUGGCGGCAUGCCUAAUACAUGCAAGUCGAACGAGAACGGAUUAUAGCUUGCUAUAAUUGUCAGCUAAGUGGCGCACGGGUGAGUAAUGUAUAGGUAAUAUGCCUCUUACUAAGGGAUAACAAAUGGAAACGUUUGCUAAUACCUUAUACUCCUUAUUAACAGAAGUUAAUAAGGGAAAGAUUUAUUGGUAAGAGAUUAGCCUGUAUUGUAUCAGUUAGUUGGUGGGGUAAUGGCUUACCAAGACUAUGACACAUAACUGGUUUGAGAGGAUGAUCAGUCACGCUGGAACUGAGACACGGUCCAGACUCCUACGGGAGGCAGCAGUGGGGAAUAUUGCACAAUGGACGAAAGUCUGAUGCAGCAACGCCGCGUGGAGGAUGACACAUUUCGGUGCGUAAACUCCUUUUAUAUGAGAAGAUAAUGACGGUAUUAUAUGAAUAAGCACCGGCUAACUCCGUGCCAGCCGCCGCAGUAA
rnacentral:rRNA from 1 species